AGCCUAUGAUGAAACAUUCUAUUUCUGACAUCUCCACUGAAAGUGUUGCAUUUAGCAAUGCUUGAUUACACACUUGUGGCUGAGGCUC